rnacentral:rRNA from 1 species
CGCCUAACACAUGCAAGUCGAACGAAGUAGCAAUACUUAGUGGCAGACGGGUGAGUAACAUGUAGGUAUCUGCCCUUUGGCCUGGAAUAACACGAGGAAACUUGUGCUAAUACCGGAUAAGUCUUUACGGAGAAAGCUUUAUGCACCAUUGGAUGAGCCUGCACUUGAUUAGUUUGUUGGUGGGGUAAAGGCCUACCAAGACUGUGAUCAAUAGCUGAUUUGAGAGGAUGAUCAGCCACAUUGGGACUGAGACACGGCCCAAACUCCUACGGGAGGCAGCAGUGGGGAAUCUUGCACAAUGGAGGAAACUCUGAUGCAGCGAUGCCGCGUGAGUGAAGAAGGCCCUUGGGUUGUAAAGCUCUUUCGUCGGGGAAGAAAAUGACUGUACCCGAAUAAGAAGGUCCGGCUAACUUCGUGCCAGCAGCCGCGGUAAUACGAAGGGACCUAGCGUAGUUCGGAAUUACUGGGCUUAAAGAGUUCGUAGGUUGUUGAAAUAGUUGGUGGUGAAAUCCCAGAGCUUAACUCUGGAACUGCCAUCAAAACUUUUCAGCUAGAGUAUGAUAGAGGAAAGCAGAAUUUCUAGUGUAGAGGUGAAAUUCGUAGAUAUUAGAAAGAAUACCAAAUGCGAAGGCAGCUUUCUGGAUCAUUACUGACACUGAGGAACGAAAGCAUGGGUAGCGAAGAGGAUUAGAUACCCUCGUAGUCCAUGCCGUAAACGAUGUGUGUUAGACGUUGGAAAUUUAUUUUCAGUGUCGCAGGGAAACCGAUAAACACACCGCCUGGG